GCCGGGCGCGGUGGUGCGUGCCUGUAGGCCCAGCUACUUGGGAGGCUGAGGCUGGAGGAUCACUUGAGCCCAGGAGUUCUAGGCUGUAGUGCGCUGUGACGAUGGGGUGUCCGUGCUAAGUUCGGCAUCAAUAUGAUGACCUCCCGGGAGUGAGGGACCACCAGGUUGCCUAAGGAGGGGUGAAUCGGCCCAGGUUGGAAACAGAGCAGGUCAAAACUCCCGUGCUGAUCAGUAGUGGGAUCACGCCUGUGAAUAGCCACUGCGCUCCAGCCUGGGCAACAUAGUGAGACCCCGUCUCA
rnacentral:SRP_RNA from 1 species